ACCAAUAUAUCGAACAUAUGAU
rnacentral:miRNA from 1 species